rnacentral:rRNA from 1 species
CCAGACUCCUACGGGAGGCAGCAGUGGGGGAUAUUGCACAAUGGGGGAAACCCUGAUGCAGCGACGCCGCGUGGGUGAAGAAGCGCCUCGGCGCGUAAAGCCCUGUCAGCAGGGAAGAAAAUGACGGUACCUGAAGAAGAAGCCCCGGCUAACUACGUGCCAGCAGCCGCGGUAAUACGUAGGGGGCAAGCGUUAUCCGGAUUUACUGGGUGUAAAGGGAGCGUAGACGGUUGUGCAAGUCAGAAGUGAAAGCCCGGGGCUCAACUCCGGGACUGCUUUUGAAACUGUGAAACUGGAGUGCAGGAGAGGUAAGCGGAAUUCCUGGUGUAGCGGUGAAAUGCGUAGAUAUCAGGAGGAACACCAGUGGCGAAGGCGGCUUACUGGACUGUAACUGACGUUGAGGCUCGAAAGCGUGGGGAGCAAACAGGAUUAGAUACCCCUGUA